rnacentral:rRNA from 1 species
GUGCCAGCAGCCGCGGUAACACGUAGGGACCAAGCGUUGUCCGGAUUCAUUGGGCGUAAAGAGCUCGUAGGCGGUUCGAUAAGUCGGGUGUGAAACCUCCAGGCUCAACCUGGAGACGCCACCCGAUACUGUCGUGACUAGAGUCCAGUAGGGGAGCGUGGAAUUCCUGGUGUAGCGGUGAAAUGCGCAGAUAUCAGGAGGAACACCAGCGGCGAAGGCGGCGCUCUGGGCUGGAACUGACGCUGAGGAGCGAAAGCGUGGGGAGCGAACAGGAUUAGAAACCCCCGUAGUCC